GACGGGGGCCCGCACAAGCAGUGGAGUAUGUGGUUUAAUUCGAAGCAACGCGAAGAACCUUACCAGGUCUUGACAUCCUGCUAACGAAGUAGAGAUACAUCAGGUGCCCUUCGGGGAAAGCAGAGACAGGUGGUGCAUGGUUGUCGUCAGCUCGUGUCGUGAGAUGUUGGGUUAAGUCCCGCAACGAGCGCAACCCUUGUGAUUAGUUGCUACGCAAGAGCACUCUAAACAGACUGCCGUUGACAAAACGGAGGAAGGUGGGGACGACGUCAAAUCAUCAUGCCCCUUAUGACCUGGGCUACACACGUACUACAAUGGCCGCGAACAGAGGGAAGCAAGGGAGCGAUCCGGAGCAAAACCCUAAAAGCGGUCUCAGUUCAGAUUGCAGGCUGCAACCCGCCUGCAUGAAGGUGGAAUUGCUAGUAAUCGCGGAUCAGCAUGCCGCGGUGAAUACGUUCCCGGGCCUUGUACACACCGCCCGUCACACCAUGGGAGCCGGUAAUACCCGAAGUCAGUAGUCUAACGGAAGAGGACGCUGCCGAAGGUAGGAUUGGCGACUGGGGUGAAGUCGUAACAAGGUAGCCGUUCGGAA
rnacentral:rRNA from 1 species